GGAGAGGCCCCACAGGUGAGCGGGGCUGCCCCAGGCGCCACCCCAGCGCCUCUGGGCCGCUGCCUGGCGCGGCUCUCCGGGCGCGGCUAGGAUGCGGCCUCGCUGGCAGUUUCCAUGGCAGGGAGCCCAGCGAAGGUGUGCGAGGCGGGGACUUCUGGCUGCCCGGCGCGGUGGGCGGGGAUGCGCGCAGCCCAAAUGCCGUAAUAGCAGCGUGGCUUUGCCAAUACUGAGGAAAUGGGAUAUUGAAUUUAGGAAGUGAAGCUGACAAGUUGACAGGAAGUUGACAGUGCUGAUAAAAGAAGAUAGAUGUGAAGAAAUAAUACACACAGCGUAUUUUUUUUUCCUGCUGUGAGAGAUACUAUGUUUAAGUGAAAUGCUAGGCAGCUGUUUUCAUUUUUCUGAGUGCUAAGGUAGGCUGGGAUGAUUCUGUAUAUGGGUUUUUGGCUUAUAGGCUGGUAUCAUUACAUUA